rnacentral:lncRNA from 1 species
CCACGAGCCGAAUUCGGAUUCUAACGGGUUCUAAUGAAAAAUGCAGGAGGAUCGGGGUCCAGUUCUCAGAAGAGGGGGCUGGGCUGCGCUGGGCUGGGCUGGUGUCUGGCUAACACAGAGGCUGAGGGAGGGAUGCGCUGGAAUGAACAUGUGGAGCGAGAAGAAGCCCAGACCAGGUUCUUUGUGUGUCUGUGGCCGACUGCCUUCCUCCAGCUGCAAGUGCAGAGAACGUGUGUCACCACAGGGCUCUUGCACUGUCCAGCACACACUCACGCAAGGUUUAUUUUUAUGAAUACAACGUAAAACCAAGAACAUUCCCAGUCCUCGUUAUCUUCCAUAAGAGCAUCUACCAAAUCUAACUGACAGUCCAAACCUGGACAGUCCCAAACCUGACAUGUUGCCCUCCUUCAAUACGAUGACGUCCCCUCCUGAUCAUGUCACUAUAUACUCCCAAUAAGUAUACUGGGUGGUCAUCUUUAUCCAUGUGCAUAUGCUUCUUUGGUAAAAUUUUUUAAAGCAAAUACUUAAAUUUCUCUAUCCCCAACCUCUUUGUCUUCUUAUUACUAGUUAAUUGGUCUUCUGGCUAAUCACUGGGCGGAUUUCUGUCAUCCCUCUGAAUGUAAUCUAUCUGGAAAAUACUUCCUAUCUGGCUCCCAAACCACAGCAAGACCCAGGUAGCCACAUGGCUUGGGUUUGGGUAGAAAACGUGGACCCAUCAAUGAGAGCUGGGGAGACCCAUCAUGACCCGGGGAGGCAGAAACCCACGGCUCUGGACUCAGGCAUCCCAGGGUUGGAAUCUCCUAGAUUCAAUGACCUCAUUCGUCCUCCUCCUCUCCUCACCUGGUGGCAGCUGAAUAAUUGACCAAGACACUGCAGGUCUCAGAGAUUCAGCAGGAAUGCAGAUCAGCAAAUACAUCUUCUUAUUUAGUGACUUGGUAAAACUGAUGUUCCCUUGCUCAGAAAUGGUUAUAUUUUACAACCAACUUUUGUUAAUUGACUACUAUGAACACCCUUGUUAAAAUAUAAAUUGGCGUCAGAAACCUCGUGUACAGUUAGUCCUUGGGACCUCUGCCAAAUACAUCAGGUAGGUCCACGGAAUCCGAAAACCUCACAAGAUUCAACCAAAUCUGGCGAGCAUGGACUGUGCUUAAAUAGUGACGAGUACCAAACACCUGCGAAUAUUUAACCAAGAGGACUUGAUGUUGUCCAGCACCAGAGAAGAAGUGGCUCCUUAUGGAUGCCUCAGCGAGGCUGAUGUCACAGGUGGGUCCCGUUUCUGUGACAAGAGGCAGGGUAAGCUGCCCCAUGAUCCAGCCGUUUUAGACAUGACACAGCAAGCUUUAAAACUGACAUUUCAAGCACCCACAAAGAGAUGGAAUGUGUGGCACUUUGUUUUUAUUUGAAUCAUAAGAGAAACAUUUUUAAUAAACCCCUAACUUCUUCUCCAUUAAUGCUAUUUAAAUAGUGAAUUCAUAAAGACUGAAGUGAUUUGUUUACUUAUACUUAGCUGUAGAAAACUUACGUGCUUUUGUUUAUUUGUUUACACCAUCAAAUCCAAUCAAGCCAAACAAGAUGGUCGACUGAAAUGACUGAUGAAUGCAACCUGAGCUGACAGCUUUAAAUUUGGGAUGUGUUACUGAUGUCAGGUUGAUCAGUUCUCUGUCUAAAAUUGAUGCUAUUUAAAGCUUUGAACAAUUUAGAUGUAGUCACUGAGUAAAAUCCCAACGGGGUGAGAGAAUUCCAUCAGGGCUGAUUCUGCUGUGGUGAAUUUCCACGUGCGCAGGUGUCAGAGGGAGAGUGGCCUCUCCCGAUGGGGUAGUGAGACAGAACAGGAUGCAGGAGGGGCGGUGGGCUGGCGUCACUCACAGCAAAGGUAAAGAGGCUUAGAAUAAAGAUAGACGCAUCUUCUCACAAGGAAUCCCAAAUGGCAAGAAGUGAAUAUGUAUCACGCUUCAAUAACUCAUCUGAAAAUGAACCCCCAGGGAAAUCAUGGUAGCCGGUGGGGUAGACCAAUGUUUUUAUUAACAAUAUAAAAGGAAUGUGUGGUGAAAGCAACGGUGACAUAAGUACUGACAGUCAGUGGAUGAAUGAUUAUGUGUCCUGAGCACCUCAGGACACAGCAAACUAGAGCAAUUCCACCAAUCAAAUGGCAAGAGAAGUCUAAUCGAAGAACCAUCCUUGUGCUGGAAGGGCAGAAUGAGUCCAGUCCGGGGACUACUGGGGCCAGACUUGGGGAAAUCAAGUUGUUGAAGGUAGCUGUGACUUUAGAGAGGUGUGCAACAGAGACAUUAAGCCAUUUCCAGUGUCUCUACCUUUAAAAUAGUUUAUUACUGGUCCAAAUGUCCAAAGACGUAUUAAAGAGGGAAAAUAUUAUUUACUGGACAGAAAUUCUCUGGAUAUUUAGAUUCUAUUCCUGUCCAGGGAUGUGAGAGAGGGGAUAUGUCAGCAGCUCAGAUGUAAGCUGGAAGGUUCCCGUCGUUGUUAAUGCAGCUUAGCCGUCUCUAGGAAAAAGGCAGCAAAUAAUUGGGAUCCUUCUAUGUAGUUCCACCUAACAAAAGAAGAAAUAAAGAGAAACUGUUAUUUCCAUUCAAAUAAUGGAGGAAAAGUAGUCUACAAUUUAAACAGGAAGAUUUGAUGACAUAAAUUCAAUCUAAAAUAUGCAGCAUGUCGGAAGGUUACUGAUGUGGACACCCUGUGGUUUGCACACUGAGAGAUCAGCCCCCUCAAGAACCUGCUCACUGUUGAUUUUCUCCUUCUGCGCGUGCUCUCCAUCGUCCACAGUGCCCAGCGGGAGCAUCAUCACACUCUUUUGGAUAACAUCCUGGAAUAUAUUGGCAAUUGGUGUGGUUGAUCCAUCCCGGAUCAUAUCUGGUUCUGUUCCAAACACUGAAACACAGGAAAAGAAGGCAUUGAAUAAAUUAAUGAGAAGACUACCCCCAGUGAUCUCCGCAAAUGUCGUGUUCACUUUAUCUUUCUUUCUUUUUUUUUUUUUUCCCACCAUGAAAUUUGGUGGCUGGGAUAAGUAAGCGUCUUGAUAUCAUGCAAUUUAUAUUCUAAAAUAGUCAAUAGAGUCAAGAAGAAAACUGUGGUUGCCUUAUUUACUAUUAUCUACUUUCAAAAAAUAUUUUUAAAUAAUAUUUUAAAGUAACGUUAGACUUACAGAAAAGUUGCAAAAGUAGUACAGAGAGAGUUCUCAUAUAUUCCUUACUCUGCUUUCCCUAAUGUUAACAUCUUACAUAACUAUUGUACAAUUAUCAAGAAUAGGAAAUUAACAUUGGAUAAUAUUAUUAACUAGACUCAGCCUUUAUUUGAAUUUCACUCUUUCCCUUCUGCUGUACCAGGAUCCAAUGCAGAAUCCCACACGGCAUUUUGUCAUUGCUCCUUAGUCUCCUCUUGUCUGUGACUGUUUCUCAGUCUUCCCUUGUCUUUCAUGACCUUGACCCUGCUGAAGAGUACUGAUCAGUUGUUUUGUAAAAUGUCCCUCAGUUUGGGUUUAUCUGACGUUUUUUCAC